GCCUGGUGGUUCCUACAGUCAGCUCCCAAGUGCUGGACGGUGGGUUAUUUUUGACAGGCGCACAUGGACUCUGCAAUUUCAUGCGUGGGAGCUGUCAUUAUCGCAGACUUCCACAGCCCGGUUGUAGAUACACUC
ensembl:snoRNA